CAAUGGCGUAUAUUACUGCUGUUGCAGUUAAAAUGUUCGUAGUCGUGUUUCACAGUGCUUCGUGGACUAAAGCAUACCGUUUUUUCCAUGUUGUAGUGACCAGGGCGAUCGGUGUUUUGCCAGUAUUGGUGAGAUUCUGUCGUCCUUUAUUGAACUUCGAGGAAAUGGGGGCGGGCAAGCCAGGCUAUUCGCUUCGGCGUUGCACGGCCCAUUCAGUGUGGUACUUUCGGAGCGGGGAAUCCUCAGGGGCUUUAUGCUUCGGGGAUUUGACCGCUUAGCGUACAGGAAUGGACGGAGACAUCCGUAUUGAACAGCAAGAGGUGAAAUUCUGGGAUUUGUUCAAGACGAACAAAGGCGAAGGCAUUUGUCCAAGACUUUUUCCUUGAUAAAGAGCGAAGGUUGGGGGAUU
rnacentral:rRNA from 1 species